GACGAACGCUGGCGGCGUGGAUUAGGCAUGCAAGUCGGACGGUAGGGCUUUAUCGUAAGAUAGAGUUUGAGAGUGGCGAACGGGUGAGUAACACGUAGGAAUCUACCCUUAAGACGGGGACAACCCAGGGAAACUUGGGCUAAUACCGGAUGAGAGUGCGAGAGAUUGCAUUUAAAAGGAUGGCGAAAGUUGUCGCUUAGGGAUGAGCCUGCGGUCUAUUAGUUAGUUGGUGAGGUAAGAGCUCACCAAGGCGAUGAUAGAUAGGCGGCCUUAACGGGUGGUCGCCCAUACUGGGAUUGAGAUACGGCCCAGACUCCUACGGGAGGCAGCAGUGGGGAAUAUUGGACAAUGGGCGCAAGCCUGAUCCAGCAAUGCCGCGUGGAUGAAGAAGGUCUUCGGAUUGUAAAGUCCUUUCGGCGGGGACGAUGAUGACGGUACCCGCAGAAGAAGCCCCGGCUAACUUCGUG
rnacentral:rRNA from 1 species